rnacentral:SRP_RNA from 1 species
GAAGGUUGGCAAUGGACGUUCCCCUCGCCAAUCGGGUCAGGUCCGGAAGGAAGCAGCCCUAACGAGUUACAGAGCGGGUCAUCUGUUCAGCCUUCCAC